rnacentral:rRNA from 1 species
GAGUUUGAUCCUGGCUCAGAACGAACGCUGGCGGCGUGGAUAAGACAUGCAAGUCGAACGAGAGAAUUGCUAGCUUGCUAAUAAUUCUCUAGUGGCGCACGGGUGAGUAACACGUGAGUAACCUGCCCCCGAGAGCGGGAUAGCCCUGGGAAACUGGGAUUAAUACCGCAUAGUAUCGAAAGAUUAAAGCAGCAAUGCGCUUGGGGAUGGGCUCGCGGCCUAUUAGUUAGUUGGUGAGGUAACGGCUCACCAAGGCGAUGACGGGUAGCCGGUCUGAGAGGAUGUCCGGCCACACUGGAACUGAGACACGGUCCAGACACCUACGGGUGGCAGCAGUCGAGAAUCAUUCACAAUGGGGGAAACCCUGAUGGUGCGACGCCGCGUGGGGGAAUGAAGGUCUUCGGAUUGUAAACCCCUGUCAUGUGGGGGCAAAUUAAAAAGAUAGUACCACAAGAGGAAGAGACGGCUAACUCUGUGCCAGCAGCCGCGGUAAUACAGAGGUCUCAAGCGUUG